rnacentral:misc_RNA from 1 species
CAAGAAUAGAAUAUUUGAUUCUUAUUUGGAAGAUGAUUUAACCAGAGAAGCAUAUAUCAUGCACAUUACCAUGACGCAUACUCAGCUAGGGAAACAUCCGACACCAAAUCUCACGGGUAAGAAGAAAAAAUCACUGGUCAAAAUGUGCACGAAAAAUAUUAACUUAUACAACAAAAAGUUGGAUACUAUUAGUGAUAUUACAGUAGAAAUGUCACCAUGCUAAUGUCUAUCACUUGACAAAAAAACAUGGUGCUUCCCACUAUGCCUAACACACAAUGAAGCGACAAAUGGAGAACGCUUCUUUGACAGGCUUGUCGUAAUCCAUCUGCUAGUCUCCCUAGACUAAAUCAGCCAACCUAUGCUUUUCCAACUAAGUACUUCUGGUUUAUCCUAUAUAAUCAAGUAUCAUAGAAGUAAAUGUCUGUACAUUACUCUUGUCCUCUUGAGGCAUCUUCCUGAGAGAGCAAGCCCAAGCACAAUGGACAAGGGGGAUCGCUUCUAUUUUCAUUACUUGUUCUCUGCUCCAAACAGUCUGCAUGAUACAUAUGACCACAGACUAAAACAGCCACAAUAGAGCAUUCCCCAGAAGAAAGUGCCUCUCCAAGAAAAUAUGGUUUCCGUCUUAACAGCUUCUGACAGAUCCCACAUAUCAUCUUCACUGCAUCAGAUGCAUCUAUUACCAUGGAGCUUAGCCUAGGUCUAAUUCUAUCUGGCCUGCCAAAUGCUUUUUCUUUGUUCCCUGUAUGGUGUCCAAACUCUGAACCAGACAACUUGAAGGCAAGUCUCUCAUCACGUAAAGGGGUAAUUUUCCCAUGAGAAGCCGAUGCAUUAGCAUGGUUCCCUGAAUUCCUCCGAGAGUAUUGAUGCCCAUAGUAGUGACGUGAUCGUUUCAAGAAAAUUGAGUGGCCAACAUUGUAAUGCUGAUGCGCAAGAGAAGAAUGCACAUUCAACAGCUUCAUGGUACUAUCUGUGGCAUCCAUCCCAGGUGAAAGAGGCUUUAAUUCACUAGAGUCAAGUAAAUGAGAAGAUUUCUCAGUAGCCAACAAUUCUGCUCCAGAUGGGCAUGGAAUGUCGUCUGCAACAUUCAGAAAUAAAUCAAAAUUAAUGAGCAUGUACAUGCUGAUCACUAUGUAGAAGAAGAAUCAACAUGAUAGCUUUCUAUUUUAAUUCACAAUUACACAACAUAAGAUCUUAUAAUACUUGUUUCAAGGCCAGGGCAUGAGCACUUGCAAGGCAAACAUUCAACCACACAGCAAAAAGCACUAGCAUCACAAGUGACAAACUUAACUACUAGAAUAUCAAAAGAAGGAGGCAAGGGUGCUGAAGGUUCAAAACAGAACUAAGCAUGCAACGCCUUAAAAAGCAUAAUAAAUUCAUAUGCAGGUCAGUUCAAC